GACGAACGCUGGCGGCGUGCUUAACACAUGCAAGUCGAACGGAAAGGCCCUGCUUUUGUGGGGUGCUCGAGUGGCGAACGGGUGAGUAACACGUGAGUAACCUGCCCUUGACUUUGGGAUAACUUCGGGAAACCGGAGCUAAUACCGGAUAAUAUAUUGAACCGCAUGGUUCAAUAGUGAAAGACGGUUUUGCUGUCACUUAUAGAUGGAUCCGCGCCGCAUUAGCUAGUUGGUAAGGUAACGGCUUACCAAGGCAACGAUGCGUAGCCGACCUGAGAGGGUGAUCGGCCACACUGGAACUGAGACACGGUCCAGACUCCUACGGGAGGCAGCAGUAGGGAAUCUUCCGCAAUGGGCGAAAGCCUGACGGAGCAACGCCGCGUGAGUGAUGAAGGUCUUCGGAUCGUAAAACUCUGUUAUUAGGGAAGAACAAAUGUGUAAGUAACUAUGCACGUCUUGACGGUACCUAAUCAGAAAGCCACGGCUAACUACGUG
rnacentral:rRNA from 1 species